rnacentral:rRNA from 1 species
AUUGAACGCUGGCGGCAGGCUUAACACAUGCAAGUCGAACGCCCCGCAAGGGGAGUGGCAGACGGGUGAGUAACACGUGGGAACAUGCCCAAAGGUACGGAAUAUUCUCGGGAAACUGGGAGCAAUACCGUAUGUGCCCGAAAGGGGAAAGAUUUAUCGCCUUUGGAUUGGCCCGCGUCAGAUUAGGUAGUUGGUGGGGUAAUGGCCUACCAAGCCGACGAUCUGUAGCUGGUCUGAGAGGACGACCAGCCACACUGGGACUGAGACACGGCCCAGACUCCGACGGGAGGCAGCAGUGGGGAAUCUUGGACAAGGGGCGCAAGCCUGAGCCAGCCAUGCCGCGUGGAUGAUGAAGGCCCUAGGGUUGUAAAAUCCUUUCGUUGGGGACGAUAAUGACGGUACCCAAAGAAGAAGCUCCGGCUAACUUCGUGCCAGCAGCCGCCGCAGUAA